rnacentral:rRNA from 1 species
CCUACGGGUAGCAGCAGUCGAGAAUCAUUCACAAUGGGGGAAACCCUGAUGGUGCGACGCCGCGUGGGGGAAUGAAGGUCUUCGGAUUGUAAACCCCUGUCAUGUGGGAGCAAAUUAAAAAGAUAGUACCACAAGAGGAAGAGACGGCUAACUCUGUGCCAGCCGCCGCGGUAAUACAGAGGUCUCAAGCGUUGUUCGGAAUCACUGGGCGUAAGGCGUGCGUAGGCUGUUUCGUAAGUCGUGUGUGAAAGGCGCGGGCUCAACCCGCGGACGGCACAUGAUACUGCGAGACUAGAGUAAUGGAGGGGGAACCGGAAUUCUCGGUGUAGCAGUGAAAUGCGUAGAUAUCGAGAGGAACACUCGUGGCGAAGGCGGGUUCCUGGACAUUAACUGACGCUGAGGCACGAAGGCCAGGGGAGCGAAAGGGAUUAGAUACCCUAGUAGUC